GGAAUAUUGGGCAAUGGAGGAAACUCUGACCCAGCGACGCCGCGUGCGGGAUGAAGGCCUUCGGGUUGUAAACCGCUUUCAGUAGGGAAGAAGCGAAAGUGACGGUACCUACAAAAGAAGCACCGGCUAACUAUGUGCCAGCAGCCGCGGUAAUACAUAGGGUGCAAGCGUUGUCCGGAAUUAUUGGGCGUAAAGAGCUCGUAGGUCGUUUGUUACGUCGGAUGUGAAAACCUGAGGCUCAACCUCAGGCCUGCAUUCGAUACGGGCAAACUAGAGUUUGGUAGGGGAGACUGGAAUUCCUGGUGUAGCGGUGGAAUGCGCAGAUAUCAGGAGGAACACCAAUGGCGAAGGCAGGUCUCUGGGCCAAUACUGACACUGAGGAGCGAAAGUCUGGGGAGCGAACAGGAUUAGAUACCCUGGUAGUCCAGACCGUAAACGGUGGGCACUAGUUGUGGGAACCUUCCACGGUUUCUGCGACGCAGCUAACGCAUUAAGUGCUCCGCCUGGGGAGUACGAUCGCAAGAUUAAAACUC
rnacentral:rRNA from 1 species